CAGUCGCCACGGGAAUACGGAGGGUGCAAGCGUUAAUCGGAAUUACUGGGCGUAAAGCGCACGCAGGCGGUCUGACAAGUCAGAUGUGAAAUCCCCGGGCUUAACCUGGGAACUGCAUUUGAAACUGUCAGGCUGGAGUCUUGUAGAGGGGGGUAGAAUUCCAGGUGUAGCGGUGAAAUGCGUAGAGAUCUGGAGGAAUACCGGUGGCGAAGGCGGCCCCCUGGACAAAGACUGACGCUCAGGUGCGAAAGCGUGGGGAGCAAACAGGAUUAGAUACCCGAGUAGUCCCUGUCUCUUAUAA
rnacentral:rRNA from 1 species